GCAGCGGGGAGUGAGGGCAGCUCCCAGGGAGCAGCGCACCCAAUGCCCAUGGCGACGGCUGAGGCAAAGACAGCCACAACCCUCUUGCCACCCACACUGGGACCUAAAGCCCCCAGGGAAGGGGAGAAUCGCGCGUGUCAUCUGCUCCCGGCCGUCCUCAGCGGUCCCCUGGCCGUGCCGCCUUUCCCUCAGCUCCAGGAGGUCCUCGCCCGGCAGUGUCCCCGAGCACCUCAUCUCGCCUCAUACAUCACCGAAAGAUGACGAGAGGGGCCGGGGAUGUAGCUCAGUGGUGCCAACGCCUGCCUCAUAAGCGCAAGGUCCUGAGUUCGAUCCCCAGUACCAAGAAAAAAAAAACAAAAACAUGACAAGGACCAGCUGAGUGGAACCUUGUCCAAAGCCAUCCUUGCUGCCUUUAUCGAGACACUGUUCAACCUGUGAAGAUGCUGCGAUCCCCCGUCUGCGGGUCCCUAUUUCUGUACAGAAUUAUUCCCAUCAGUACACAGCCGCACCACCAUCCCUCUCUGCCCACGCUGCCCUCUCCCGGGGCCUCCUGCUGCCUCCCAGGGCCUUCACACUGAGCUACAUCUUCGGCCACUUUAAAAAAUUUUGAGGUACUACCUCACUAAGUCGCUAAUUUCCCAGGCUGGGACUGAACUUGCAAUCCUCCCGUCCCGGCCUCCUAGAGUGCACGGGCGACAGGCCCGGUUUAGGGUCUGCUUUCUUCGCUGGUUUCCCCAGUACGAUCCCCCCAGCGUCCUCACUGUCACCCACCCUAGCCCAGCCCUGGGGCUCAGGGUGCCAGGACUUGGGAAAGUUGAUAGCCCUGCGAGGGCCG
rnacentral:lncRNA from 1 species